GCGACCUCAGGAUGGGCGAGNCCACCCC
rnacentral:rRNA from 1 species